AUGUUCAGUACGGAUUCCUAUAGUACUGUUCGGGGAGUUGAUAAGUUAAUUCCUGUGGAUGUCUACUUGCCGGGCUGCCCACCUAAACCGGAGGAAGUUAUAGAUGCCCUAACAAAACUUCGUAAGAAGAUAUCGCGAGAAAUAGUUGAGGAUCGAACUCUAUCUCAAAAUAAAAAUAGAUGUUUUACUACCAGUCACAAGCUUUAUGUUAGGCGCAGUACUCAUACAGGAACUUAUGAGCAAGAAUUGCUCUAUCAAUCACCAUCUACAUUAGAUAUAUCUUCUGAAACUUUUUUCAAAUCCAAAAGUUCAGUACCUUCCUACAAAUUAGUGAAUUAG
rnacentral:rRNA from 1 species